CCUACGGGUGGCAGCAGUAGGGAAUUUUCGUCAAUGGGCGCAAGCCUGAACGAGCAAUGCCGCGUGAACGAGGAAGGUCUUCGGAUCGUAAAGUUCUGUUGAAGGGGAAAAAGAGCGGAGAGAGGAAAUGCUUUCUGAUUGAUAUUACCCUUCGCGGAAGUCACGGCUAACUACGUGCCAGCAGCCGCGGUAAUACGUAGGUGGCGAGCGUUAUCCGGAAUGAUUGGGCGUAAAGGGUGCGUAGGCUGUAUGUCAAGUCAAGGGUGAAAUCCCACGGCUCAACCGUGGAACUGCCUUUGAAACUGGCAAACUGGAGUAUGUGAGAGGGUGGCGGAAGUCCUGGUGUAGGAGUGAAAGCCGUAGAUAUCAGGAGGAACAUCAGUGGCGAAGGCGGCCGCCUGGCACAAAACUGACGCUGAGGUGCGAAAGCGUGGGUAGCAAACAGGAUUAGAUACCCGGGUAGUC
rnacentral:rRNA from 1 species